UCAAUACUCCGCGAACAAUUUGUUAUCUGCCUCCUCUCUUCGGCUACGAUUCACACAAACAAAGAUACAAUACAAUAAAAGAGAGUACUGAAGAUUACAUGUCGGAAAACAUCCUGACGCCCCUUCAGGCGGUAGUCCUGAGAGGGAACCAGAAAAAGAUUUACAGUGAAAAUUCGUGUUGUUUUGUUGGUGAAAAUAAUUGAUGCAAAGGAUGCGGAAUUGAGGUGGGAUGAAGAUGAUGGUUGAGAUUGCAUGGAACUGCAGAUGAAGAUUGUUACAGUAUGCGUGGAAGCAGAUGAAGCUAACAUAAGAUUCACAUGUUGAUGAUGAAGAUGGAAG